UGUAAAACUGUUGCUCAGGAAAAUAAGGAAGCUGUUUUCCAUAUAGAACUAUAAAUAGAUGUUUAAAAAAACCAGAAUGCAACUGAGCAAAUUUUAAAGAUCUUAUUGGCUUUAACAAUUCAUGAAUCGGGCAGCAUCCCAUCCAGCAGGUAGAGAGAUGAGCUGAGGAGCUGUAAAAGUGGAAGACUUUUCUAGGCAGAAGGGGGUGGGACGUGGGAGUUACACUAGCAAGGAGGAGAUCACUAGUGGCCAGGUGAGCAUCCGUUAGUGGACGGCAGGGGCCUGUCAGGCAGAUUGCCUCACUAGCGCUGACCAGGUGAUUCCAGACUGACCUAAGUUUCUCCUCCCAGGAGAGGUGGAUUGAGGUACUGAGUCUGAUGACCUGGGGCUUAGCCCAGGUGAUCCCAGUUUAGCCUGUUGUCUCUUUUAACAAAGCCUUAACAGGUACCUAUAGUACCAAGAGCACCUCCUAAGCCAAAUUUUCAUUACUUUUGGAUUACACAUGCCACAAACUCUUCUACUACUGCAGUUUAUUCUCACUUGUGUUAUUUGGGGUAUGGUAGUUGGGAGCCACUAAAGAAUAAUUUUAUAAACCCUAGGAGGGUUUUCUCUGAAUGGUAGGUGAGGUUUUUGUACGUUAGUGAUGCACUGAAAUGUGUCUGUGUCUAUGUCCAGGAGAACUAAGACACCUAGGAAACUACCAGUGAAAAAAGGAUCCCAGACAAGUCUGAAGGACCCCGUCGGGGUGUACUGUAGGGUGCGCCCGCUGAGCAUUCCCGACCAAGAGUGCUGCAUAGAGGUGAUCAGUAGCACAACCGUUCAGCUUCACACCCCUGAGGGCUACAGACUCAACCGAAAUGGAGACUAUAAGGAGACUCAGUACUCCUUUAAGCAAGUAUUUGGCACUCACACCACCCAAAAGGAGCUCUUUGAUGUUGUGGCCAACCCCCUGGUCGAGGACCUUAUCCAUGGCAAAAAUGGUCUCCUCUUCACAUAUGGUGUGACGGGAAGUGGGAAAACCCACACCAUGACUGGGUCUCCAGGGGAAGGAGGACUCCUUCCGCGCUGUCUGGACAUGAUCUUCAACAGCGUGGGGUCGCUGCAAGCCAAACGAUACGUCUUCAAGUCUAAUGACAGGAACAGCAUGGACAUACAGUGUGAAGUCGACGCCUUACUAGAGCGGCAGAAAAGAGAAGCCACGCCCAACCCGAAGACCCCCUCUAGCAAACGACAAGUAGAUCCAGAGUUUGCAGAUAUGAUAAAUGUACAAGAAUUCUGCAAAGCACAAGACGUUGAUGAAGACAGUGUCUACGGUGUCUUUGUCUCUUAUAUUGAAAUAUAUAAUAAUUACAUAUAUGAUCUCUUGGAGGAGGCGCUGUUUGACCCCAUAAAGCCUAAGUGGAACAGCUGCAGCACGCCCGUGAGGAGCACGGAUUUUGUGCCUCCACAGUCCAAACUGCUCCGGGAGGACAAGAACCAUAACAUGUACGUUGCAGGGUGCACAGAAGUCGAGGUGAAAUCCACCGAGGAGGCUUUUGAAGUCUUCUGGAGAGGCCAGAAAAAGCGACGAAUUGCUAACACACAUCUGAAUCGUGAGUCCAGCCGUUCCCACAGCGUGUUCAACAUUAAGUUAGUUCAGGCUCCCUUGGAUGCAGAUGGGGACAAUGUCUUACAGGAAAAAGAACAAAUCAUUAUAAGCCAGCUGUCCCUGGUGGAUCUCGCUGGGAGUGAGAGAACUAACCGGACAAAAGCGGAAGGGAACAGACUACGCGAGGCCGGUAACAUUAAUCAGUCACUGAUGACGCUGAGAACAUGUAUGGAGGUCCUGAGAGAGAACCAGAUGUACGGGACCAACAAGAUGGUCCCAUACCGAGACUCAAAGCUGACCCAUCUGUUCAAGAACUACUUUGACGGGGAAGGAAAAGUGCGCCUGAUCGUGUGUGUGAAUCCGAAGGCCGAGGACUAUGAAGAAAGCUUGCAAGUCAUGAGGUUUGCAGAAGUGACCCAGGAAGUUGAAGUGGCAAGACCAGUAGACAAGGUCAUAUGUGGUCUGACGCCGGGGAGGCGGUACCGACACCAGGCCCGCGGGGGCGCCGUUGGAGAUGAACCACUGGUUUCAGAAGUGGUUUUACAGAGCUUUCCGCCUCUGCCGUCCUGUGAGAUCCUGGACGUCAAUGAUGAGCAGACUCUCCCCCGGCUGAUCGAAGCGCUAGAGAAGCGGCACCGCCUGCGGCAGAUGAUGGCCGACGAGUUUAGCAAACAGGCUAUUGCUUUUAAAGCUUUGUUGCAAGAAUUUGACAAUGCUGUUUUAAAUAAAGAAAACUACAUUCAAGGAAAACUCAGUGAAAAAGAAAAGGUGAUCUCAGGACAGAAACUGGAAAUAGAACAACUGGAGAAGAAAAACAAAACUUUAGAGUAUAAGAUGGAGGUUCUGGAGAAGACUGCGGCCAUCUACGAGGAGGACCAGCGCGCGCUGCAGCAGCGGCUGGAGGCCCAGGGCCAGCGGCUCCAGCGGCAGCUUUCCGACAAGCGCAGGCUGGAGGCCCGGCUACAGGGCAUGGUGACCGAGACCUCCAUGAAGUGGGAGAAGGAAUGCGAGCGGCGGGUGGCGGCCAAACAGCUGGAGAUGCAGAAUAAACUCUGGGUGAAAGACGAGAAGCUGAAGCAGCUAAAGGCCAUUGUUACCGAGCCCAAAAGCGACAAGCCGGAGAGGCCGUCUCGGGAGCGGGAUCGAGAGAAGGUGACUCCGAGGUCCGCUUCCCCACCCCCCGUCCCGCUUUCUAGUAACCAUAUUGCUCAGGUUCCCAACGGCCAGCAGCUCAUGAGCCAGCCCCAGCGGCACAGGCGCUCUAACUCCUGCAGCAGCAUUUCUGUAGCUUCCUGUGUUUCCGAGUGGGAGCAGAAAAUGCCUCCGUACAGCUCACCUCUCGGUGCCACGUCCAUUGCAAGGCGUAGGCAGCAGGAGCCAGGACAGAGCAAAGCCUGUGUCGUGUCAGACAGAAGGCGAGGGAUGUGCUGGACUGAAGGCAGGGAGGUGGUCCCUUCACUCAGGACCGAGAUAGAAGUAGAAGAGGACCGCUGCCGCGGGAACGCACCACCAAUUCGUCUGAGACACAGACGGUCGCGCUCCGCAGGAGACAGAUGGGUAGAUCAUAAGCCCGCCUCUAACGUGCAGACUGAGACAGUCAUGCAGCCACAUGUCCCUCAUGCCAUCACUGUGUCUGUUCCAAGUGAAAAGGCCCUAGCUAAGUGUGAGAAGUACAUGCUGACCCACCAGGAACUAGCCUCCGAUGGGGAGAUUGAAACUAAGUUAAUUAAGGGUGAUGUUUUUAAAACAAGGGGUGGUGGACAAUCCGUCCAGUUUACUGAUAUUGAGACUGUAAAACAAGAAUCACCAACUGGUCGGAAACGCAGAUCUUCCACAGCAGCGCCAACCCAGCCCGACGGGACGGAGUCUGAGUGGACUGACGUGGAGACAAGGGUAGGUAGGACUGGGGAACGCCUGUUCUAGCCCCGCAGCCGCAGCUUUUCGUGCUCCCUGAAACAGCUCAGGUCUGAUCUCGUGGCCAGUGAGUCCCAGCAAAUCUGAGAAGGUAGCUGUGUUUCUUUAGGGCUAGUCUUCCUGGCCCUUCUCUGUAGCACAGAGCGUAGGGCCCCAGAGCCAAGUCCGAGGGCUUCACCCUAGAAGAACAAGAACUCACAUCAAACUGAUGGGGAUCUUCUCAGAAGCCAAGUUCCCUGUGGAACGGUUACUCCUGAGGAGAGGCUCCGAGGAAGAGCCUGGGAAGGGGGGGCAGGAGGCCAAGCGGGGCCUUCGCCCCGGAUGUUCUCGUGCACUCCUCACGGAGAAUGAGGUUUACCUGGACCACCUCUGAAGCCCCUUCUCUGUUUCUGUGGCUAUGACACGUGACCCGAGAGCGCCUGAUCGGUAUUUUAAGUAGUGCUCUGUGGCUGUGGAGAUGAGAGCAGGAUCUCAGCUAGGGCCCGGGUACCAGCACCACGCACAGCCCAAGCGCAAGAAGCCAUGAGCUGACCAAGGCUCAAUGAUGAAAGAACACUUCGGUCUGUGUUGGUGAUUGCUCCCGAGUGGUGGUGCAGAACUCCAGCUUCGCUGAACAUCACAGACCUCAGACGCAUGGUGCACGGGCCCACAGCAAAGAUGCCCCACGGCUCCAAAGAUGCCUAGGAUUCUACAAACUCUCCAUUACAUGCCUUUCCAUAUUUAAAAUAUUAAUAGCACAGAAAGACCCUCUUCUCCUUGCCGUAUGAACUUUUUUAUAAUGCUGA